UUCUCUUUCUAAAAACGUUGAGAUAGUGUCCCCCUCUAAAAUUUGAUGUAGUUUCUCUUUCUACCCUUGAGUCAAUCAAUAGGGAGGGUCAACUUCACCAAAGUAGAAAGGCCACUAUCUAAGCAAUUUGGAGGCUUGUUUGUUCAACUACUAUUGAAAUGAAAUGAUAUAAUGAAGGUCGCGCUAGAAGUUCAAGUGGUCGCCCACCCUUUUUUUGAAGAGUCCCUACACUGUGACUCUAACAUUUGGGUUGCAAAAAUAACUUAGUAGAGGUUGCGUACAUGCUUGCUAAGGGGUUAAGAUACUUUCUCUCUCUAAAACUUAAUACUUGAGGUAGUUUCUCUCUCUAAUUUAUGGGGAUGUUUACUUGAGGUAGUUUUUCUCUCUAAUUUAUGGGGAUGUUUUGGUAGAACUAGUUGUAUUUAAUAAAAUGGCCAGCUCCAUUGUGUGACAACAAUAUUAUCAUCAGUUGCAUUCAGUGUUCGCAAAAUCGAACCAGAACGGUUAACUAGACAUGGGCCUGGAAGCGAUUUAACUAGGCUAACCGGUAACCCGGCUGAUUCAACUGCUCUAACCGAGCAAGUCCCGAAGACUAAGAAUGUGAUUGAAACAAAACACACUCAAAUGAAGUUGAAAAAUAAUGAAAAAAUGGAUUUUAACGAGUCAAUUUAUGCCUAAGGGUAUUUUUAAAAUUUUCUGAAAAGAUCGGAAAAUAUAAAAGUGAUUAUCAAUGACCAAAAUAUUUU
rnacentral:lncRNA from 1 species